AUGUCAGGGCGUGGAAAGGGUGGUAAGGGACUGGGAAAGGGAGGUGCAAAGAGGCAUAGGAAGGUUCUCCGCGACAACAUCCAAGGUAUCACAAAGCCAGCUAUUCGUAGAUUGGCAAGAAGAGGUGGUGUGAAGAGGAUCAGUGGUUUGAUCUAUGAAGAAACCAGAGGAGUUCUCAAGAUCUUCUUGGAGAAUGUGAUUCGCGAUGCUGUUACGUAUACUGAGCACGCUAGGAGGAAGACUGUUACCGCCAUGGAUGUUGUUUAUGCCUUGAAGAGACAAGGAAGAACCUUGUACGGAUUUGGUGGUUGA
rnacentral:lncRNA from 1 species